UACUCAGUUUCGAUGUCCU
rnacentral:siRNA from 1 species